GCCCUCGGAGAUCACCUACAACCAGUGCGGAGGAAAGGAGCCUGCGCAGGUUUUGGCCCCAGGAAGUCGGAGCCCAGAGCAUGCUGGGAACUUGGGGUGGGCAGCAGGGCGGUCAGAGAGGGUGUCUGGGAGGCGUUGGGGUCUGUUGGAAGAAUUUAGGAGCGUGGAAGGCCAGACAGCUAAUAAUUCCUAGUCGAAGUCUGCACUUCGACUAUUGCCUUAGAGGAGGCAUGCUGGUUAGGACUGCGCCUUGGAGCCCACUUGACUUUUAACGGUGUGACAAUGGACAAAUUACCUGAACUUCUUGGGUACAGUACUUGAAACUACUCCUUGGAGAUGUUAGAAUAUUAAAAAGGAUCAGCUGUAUACUAGGCAGUACUAUUUAGCCGAAGCUUAGCUGGAAUCAGUAUCAUUUUAAGAAGCCCAUCCUGUUUAGCGAUUAAAGAGCACUGAUUGCUUCGAGAGUUCCAGAAGUGUUAUUGCUGGGUAGUGAGGCCAGGAUCCCCAGUAGCUUUCCUGAUGAAGACUUUAUAUGCUUAACUACAAAUAAUUUUUCCAAGUUCUGCACCAGAAAUUGGAUCUUGGGAGUUCAAGAGUCAACAGGUAUCAGGAAGAUUGAUGAACUCACAGAUGCACAAGAGACCGAUGCCAUCAUCUCUAGUGCCAAUUAAGAUAGAAGAAAUGCCGUCUGUCUUCAGUGCCUGGAGAACUCCCAUUUCCCAACCAGGGCACCUCCCAUUCCCUAAGCCAGGAUGUCAGGAAGCUGCACAGUCAAUAGAGACUUCUUCAUGAGCGUAAAGUCAGAGCAAAGGGAGGUGAAAUCAUCACAGAGAAAAGAUAUGGAGUUGAAAUCGCAAUGGCUUGAAGGCUCAGCAAAGGAGUGAUGAAACCCCAGGAGAGGUAUUGAUGGUGCCAGCAUUUAGAAGACACAACAAAUGUCACUGACAUUUCUGCCUCCCUCACAAGUAGCUUAGCAAAUUUGUCACAGUUGUGCCUUAAUACACAGAUAUGGACUAAAGUAUUAGUGUUCAUUCAACAUUGUAUGCUGGUCUUGGAGAAAUAAAAAUGAGUAAGAUGUA